rnacentral:lncRNA from 1 species
GAAGGGAGUAGGUCACUUGGCAUAUAACCUGGAAGGGAAUAUCUUGCCCUUAGCUUUCCCCCACUCUGUUUCCCAGCUACCAGAGGAGAGCAGCUUUCCUUCACCAUCAUUUCCACCAAGAUGUUUCUGUCUUGGAAUUGCUUGAAAUGAAAACCCUGAAACUGUGGACCAAAACAAACUAUUCUUCAGAAAGACAGUGCCACCUGACCAGACCUCUCAAUAGAAAAGGUGAAAUAUACUUCCCUUCUCUAUCACUGUGGGUCCUGUUCAACAGACUGCUAUGGAUUUACACAUCUUGGCCUGGAGUCCUGCUUUUCCUAUCUGCUUUAAGAGGAAUAAGUUGGGUAAUUCUCAUUCCAGGACUAUGUGGAGACUCUCUAAAUGGACCAACCACAGCCUGGCACCAAGCCAAUAGGAACCAUAUCUGUCAGUGAGAAGUAAAUGCUUGUUGUCAUCUCAUGAACUUGUGGAUUAUUUGUUACAUAGCAUUAUUUCCACAAUAGCUGACUAAUGGACUGUGGGACAUUUGGCUAGUUACUUACGUUAAUCUCUGAGGGAUACAGUUUCCUCAUCUAUAAAAAAUGGGCA